rnacentral:rRNA from 1 species
GACGUAGGGGCGAGCGUUGUCCGGAUUUAUUGGGCGUAAAGCGUGCGUAGGCGGCUGCGCAAGUCGGGUGUGAAACCCCGGGGCUCAACCCCGGAACUGCAUCCGAUACUGCGUGGCUAGAGGUAGGUAGGGGAGAUCGGAAUUCCUGGUGUGAGCGGUGAAAUGCGCAGAUAUCAGGAGGAACACCGGUGGCGAAGGCGGAUCUCUGGGCCUUACCUGACGCUCAGGCACGAAAGCUAGGGGAGCGAACAGG